AGUGCCUUCGGGAACCAUGAGACAGGUGCUGCAUGGCUGUCGUCAGCUCGUGUCGUGAGAUGUUGGGUUAAGUCCCGUAACGAGCGCAACCCUUGUCCUUAGUUACCAGCGAGUCAAGUCGGGGACUCUAAGGAGACUGCCGGUGAUAAACCGGAGGAAGGUAGGGAUGAUGUCAAGUCAUCAUGGCCCUUACAGGUAGGGCUACACACGUGCUACAAUGGCCGGUACAAAAGGAAGCGAAGUCGCGAGGCGGAGCAAAUCCCUUAAAGCCGGUCGUAGUCCGGAUUGGAGUCUGCAACUCGACUCCAUGAAGUUGGAAUCGCUAGUAAUCGUGGAUCAGAACGCCACGGUGAAUACGUUCCCGGGCCUUGUACACACCGCCCGUCACACCAUGGGAGUGGGUGGCACCAGAAGUGAUUAGUCUAACCGCAAGGAGGACGAUCACCACGGUGUGAUUCAUGACUGGGGUGAAGUCGUAACAAGGUAGCCGUAGGGGAACC
rnacentral:rRNA from 1 species